GAUGAACGCUGGCGGCGUGCCUAAUACAUGCAAGUCGAGCGAACAGACGAGGAGCUUGCUCCUCUGACGUUAGCGGCGGACGGGUGAGUAACACGUGGAUAACCUACCUAUAAGACUGGGAUAACUUCGGGAAACCGGAGCUAAUACCGGAUAAUAUAUUGAACCGCAUGGUUCAAUAGUGAAAGACGGCUUUGCUGUCACUUAUAGCUGGAUCCGCGCCGCAUUAGCUAGUUGGUAAGGUAACGGCUUACCAAGGCGACGAUGCGUAGCCGACCUGAGAGGGUGAUCGGCCACACUGGAACUGAGACACGGUCCAGACUCCUACGGGAGGCAGCAGUAGGGAAUCUUCCGCAAUGGGCGAAAGCCUGACGGAGCAACGCCGCGUGAGUGAUGAAGGUCUUCGGAUCGUAAAGCUCUGUUAUUAGGGAAGAACAAAUGUGUAAGUAACUAUGCACGUCUUGACGGUACCUAAUCAGAAAGCCACGGCUAACUACGUG
rnacentral:rRNA from 1 species